rnacentral:rRNA from 1 species
CAUUACAAGUAUUAGAGGCAAUGCCUGCCCAGUGACUAAGGUUAAACGGCCGCGGUAUUCUGACCGUGCAAAGGUAGCAUAAUCACUUGUUCCUUAAUUAGGGACUAGAAUGAACGGCUAAACGAGGGUUUGACUGUCUCUUAUUUUCCAUCAGUGAAAUUGACCUUCCCGUGAAGAGGCGGGAAUAACACAACUAGACGAGAAGACCCUAUGGAGCUUUAAUUUAUUGGCUUAAUUUCAACAACUUAAAAAUCUAAUGAAAACAAAAAACUGAAAAAUAAACCAAUGAUUUAGGUUGGGGUGACCUCGGAGAAUAAAAAAACCUCCGAAAGAUCAUGAUCAAGACUGACAGGUCAAAAUAAGCUCCCCUAUCACAAUCGACCCAUUAAUUUUGAUCGACGAACCAAGUUACCCUAGGGAUAACAGCGCAAUCCUAUUCAAGAGUUCAUAUCGAAAAUAGGGUUUACGACCUCGAUGUUGGAUCAGGAUAUCCCAAUGGUGCAGCAGCUAUUAAUGGUUCGUUUGUUCAACGAUUA